UUAAUUGAAACCAAAGAGAGGUAUAUCACUGUUAAUGAUAAAACUGGAUUUAUUCCCAAUUAAA
rnacentral:tRNA from 1 species